rnacentral:snRNA from 1 species
AUGGAAAUAAAGAAAAUUCGA